CUGCUCUGCUGGAGUUUCAUAAGUGAGCCCAGGAUACAGUGUAUACACUUCACUUUCUUCGGAAAUCAUGCUAAGAACUAAAGUUACUACCUAAAGUUAAAGGAAACAGACUGGUUCAGCAGAGACUGGUUUCUGACUUUCUUCCUGCUGUGCUGGAAAACACUGAAUAUAAGCGUUCUCUUCUGAAAUUUUACCAACACGAACUGCCACACGCUACCAAGUUCUUAAGGCUACCAAGUUCUUAAGCAUUCAUUCUGCUCAGGAAGAUUUCAGUCAUAUUUGGCAGACCUCAGCUCUUUGUGGUUUUACUCAAUUCUUACUCUGGAAACAUUGCUGAUGUUGGAUUUACUUCUCAAAAAACAGUCAGCUUCAACAAUCUGGACUUAUAGCAUAUCAACAUCAACAGUUAUACUGGACCUUACUCCCAAUCUGCAAAACUAACUGAAUUAAAGGAAUGCUAUAGAUUCCACUACCAGUUUUAGAGAUGUUUUUUAAAUCACUACUUUUUCUGUUUUUGCCAUUGCACCACCUGUCUGCUUAUCUCCAAGAUCAACAUGGAAAUCAGAAUGCCAUACAGAUUCAGAAAUGUGCUGAGAUGCAAACUGAGGCCUAUAUGAAAUAAUGGGACAUGGAGAACUCUGUCUUCCAAAAGCAGACUUCAUUGUCUCAAUGAUGUCUGUAAGCAUACACAGAGAACUAGGUCAGCUUACAUGGAGAAGAGAUCAUCUGCAACGGCAGAAUUACAUGGA